rnacentral:rRNA from 1 species
AGCAAUGGAGGGACGCAGAAGGAUAGAAGAAGCGUGCGAUUGGUUGUGCACGUCCAAGCAGUUAGGCUGAUAAGUAGGCAAAUCCGCUUAUCGCGUAUGCUGAGCUGUGAUGGGGAAGCUCCUUAUGGAGCGAAGUCUUUGAUUCCCCGCUGCCAAGAAAAGCUUCUAGCGAGAUAAAAGGUGCCUGUACCGCAAACCGACACAGGUAGGCGAGGAGAGAAUCCUAAGGUGUGCGAGAGAACUCUGGUUAAGGAACUCGGCAAAAUGACCCCGUAACUUCGGGAGAAGGGGUGCUUUCUUAACGGAAAGCCGCAGUGAAUAGGCCCAAGCGACUGUUUAGCAAAAACACAGCUCUCUGCGAAGCCGUAAGGCGAAGUAUAGGGGGUGACACCUGCCCGGUGCUGGAAGGUUAAGGAGAGGGGUUAGCGUAAGCGAAGCUCUGAACUGAAGCCCCAGUAAACGGCGGCCGUAACUAUAACGGUCCUAAGGUAGCGAAAUUCCUUGUCGGGUAAGUUCCGACCCGCACGAAAGGUGUAACGAUUUGGGCACUGUCUCAACCAGAGACUCGGUGAAAUUAUAGUACCUGUGAAGAUGCAGGUUACCCGCGACAGGACGGAAAGACCCCGUGGAGCUUUACUGUAGCCUGAUAUUGAAUUUUGGUACAGUUUGUACAGGAUAGGCGGGAGCCAUUGAAACCGGAGCGCUAGCUUCGGUGGAGGCGCUGGUGGGAUACCGCCCUGACUGUAUUGAAAUUCUAACCUACGGGUCUUAUCGACCCGGGAGACAGUGUCAGGUGGGCAGUUUGACUGGGGCGGUCGCCUCCUAAAGUGUAACGGAGGCGCCCAAAGGUUCCCUCAGAAUGGUUGGAAAUCAUUCGUAGAGUGCAAAGGCAUAAGGGAGCUUGACUGCGAGACCUACAAGUCGAGCAGGGACGAAAGUCGGGCUUAGUGAUCCGGUGGUUCCGCAUGGAAGGGCCAUCGCUCAACGGAUAAAAGCUACCCCGGGGAUAACAGGCUUAUCUCCCCCAAGAGUCCACAUCGACGGGGAGGUUUGGCACCUCGAUGUCGGCUCAUCGCAUCCUGGGGCUGUAGUCGGUCCCAAGGGUUGGGCUGUUCGCCCAUUAAAGCGGUACGCGAGCUGGGUUCAGAACGUCGUGAGACAGUUCGGUCCCUAUCCGUCGUGGGCGUAGGAAAUUUGAGAGGAGCUGUCCUUAGUACGAGAGGACCGGGAUGGACGCACCGCUGGUGUACCAGUUGUUCUGCCAAGGGCAUAGCUGGGUAGCUAUGUGCGGAAGGGAUAAGUGCUGAAAGCAUCUAAGCAUGAAGCCCCCCUCAAGAUGAGAUUUCCCAUAGCGUAAGCUAGUAAGAUCCCUGAAAGAUGAUCAGGUUGAUAGGUUCGAGGUGGAAGCAUGGUGACAUGUGGAGCUGACGAAUACUAAUAGAUCGAGGACUUAACC